rnacentral:rRNA from 8 species
UGGGGAAUCUUGCGCAAUGGGCGAAAGCCUGACGCAGCCAUGCCGCGUGAAUGAUGAAGGUCUUAGGAUUGUAAAAUUCUUUCACCGGGGACGAUAAUGACGGUACCCGGAGAAGAAGCCCCGGCUAACUUCGUGCCAGCAGCCGCGGUAAUACGAAGGGGGCUAGCGUUGCUCGGAAUUACUGGGCGUAAAGGGCGCGUAGGCGGAUCGUUAAGUCAGAGGUGAAAUCCCAGGGCUCAACCCUGGAACUGCCUUUGAUACUGGCGAUCUUGAGUAUGAGAGAGGUAUGUGGAACUCCGAGUGUAGAGGUGAAAUUCGUAGAUAUUCGGAAGAACACCAGUGGCGAAGGCGACAUACUGGCUCAUUACUGACGCUGAGGCGCGAAAGCGUGGGGAGCAAACAGG